UACGUAGGUGGCAAGCGUUGUCCGGAUUUACUGGGCGUAAAGAGCGCGUAGGCGGCCAAGUCAGUCGAAUGUGAAAGCCCCCGGCUCAACUGGGGAGGGUCAUUCGAUACUGCUCGGCUCGAAGACAGGAGAGGGAAGUGGAAUUCCCGGUGUAGUGGUGAAAUGCGUAGAUAUCGGGAGGAACACCAGUGGCGAAGGCGACUUUCUGGCCUGUUCUUGACGCUGAGGCGCGAAAGCUAGGGGAGCAAACGGG
rnacentral:rRNA from 1 species